rnacentral:rRNA from 1 species
AGCAGCCGCGGUAAUGCGUAGGAUGCAAGCGUUGUCCGGAAUUAGUGGGCGUAAAGAGAACGUAGGCGGCCACUUAAGUUUGGUCUUAAAGACCGGGGCUCAACGCCGGGAAUGGAUCGAAUACUGGGUGGCUAGAGGAUGUCAGAGGAAAGUGGAAUUCCAAGUGUAGCGGUGAAAUGCGUAGAUAUUUGGAGGAACACCAGUGGCGAAAGCGACUUUCUGGGACAUUCCUGACGCUGAGGUUCGAAAGCUCGGGGAGCAA